AAUGAACGUUGGCGGCGUGGAUUAGGCAUGCAAGUCGUGCGAGAACCGUAGCAAUACGGGGACAGCGGCGAAAGGGAGAGUAAUGCGUGGAUACCUACCCCCAGGACCAGGAUAGCCGCGGGAAACUGCGGGUAAUACUGGAUAAUAUCUCCGGAUCAAAGGGGUGAUUCCGCCCGGGGAUGUGUCCGCGUCGUAUUAGCUAGUUGGCAGGGUAAUGGCCUACCAAGGCAAAGAUGGGUAUGGGGCGUGAGAGCGUGCCCUCACUCACUGGGACUGAGACACUGCCCAGACACCUACGGGUGGCUGCAGUCGAGGAUCUUCGGCAGUGGGCGCAAGCCUGACCGAGCGACGCCGCGUGCGGGAUGAAGGCCUUCGGGUUGUAAACCGCUGUCAGAGGGGAGGAAAUGCCUUGGGGUUCUCCCCAGGUUUGACCUAUCCUCAGAGGAAGGACGGGCUAAGUUCGUGCCAGCAGCCGCAGUAAAAC
rnacentral:rRNA from 1 species